CUUUAAUUGUAAGCCAAUUUAACAAUUAAAUAAAUAGUUUUUCCCGCAUCUCUUAUAGUUUUUGGUUUAGUGUUCCAUAAUUUUGGAGCAUCACAGCUUCCCAUGUCACUGCUCUGGUGUUUGCAUGAAGUAUAAUGUAUGUAUGACUUAUUAAGAAUAUUGUAACUCGUGUCGAUGUCACUGUGACAUCCACUGUGCUGUUAUUCGCUAUCACUCAGGCUGUUGUGUUGCCUUAGACCAGAUAAGUUAUUGAUUCCCAUCAUGCACUCUGCUGCUGCAGAAAGGCCAGCAGCCUCCAGGGAGUGCGCUGUAUAUGUGAGCUCUUUGUCCUUCCUCUGUCCUCACAUCCUUUCUCUUCAUCACCCUUCAUUCACUCCUCUUCCACCCCCCGUACCUCCUCUGAUUUAUUUCAUUCAUUCCCUCUCUACCUCGCCUGACCCCCCCUCUCUUGUUCCUGUGCAUCCCUCUAUCUCCUCUCUCUCUGUCCAUAUGUUUAGCUCGUCUCUUUCCGUGCCCUCAAUGAGGUGUCUGCCGUGCAGUGAAAGCCGGGGGAAAUGAGCGGGGCUCGCAGAAUGCAAGGUAGGAAGAGAAAUAUGCUGCGUGUCAUGCGUGGUCAGGAUGCAGAGAGAUCAAAAGUGUUGCAACGCAUCUUUUGCAGCGUCAUGAUGCAGCAAGAUCUCGAAGCAAUGAGUUGAUAACCAUGUUCCUCGCUUUCCUUUUUACAGAGUUAAAGUACUUCAGGGAUGGAGCUACGUUGGUGAUUUCGUUGGAUGGUUUUAAUUGGCUGUCUAAAAGGAGAUGCAGUGACAAAGAAGUCAAGAAUAGGAAUGAAGAGCUCCGGCUGCUGAUCUCCUCAGGUCACAUGAUCCGGGCCGAUGAAGAGCUGCAGGCGAUCACCUGCAUCCUCGAUCAAAGAGGAAGUGCGGCCCCAGAGUUAUGGAGGACCAGUGACAGCAGAUCCAGCUCGGUAACGCGGUCCCCCGCUCUUCUCUGCCUCCCCUCGACAUCGUCGUCGUCUGCCGGAGGAGCCCGCGCGUCGUCCAGCCCUCAAUUCUUUAGCUUCUUCGCUCCCAGAGCGUCCAAAGGAGGCCCAAUGGACCAGACUUAUUCUAAACAUGCAGGACAUUUUCAGUUUGAUCAAGAAGGACUCGAACAUGGUGACCCAGCAGGACAGUUUCACACUGAAUCAGCACAACAGCUUUAUAAUCUUCUGUGA
rnacentral:lncRNA from 1 species